AUUGAACGCUGGCGGCAUGCCUUACACAUGCAAGUCGAACGGCAGCACGGAGCUUGCUCUGGUGGCGAGUGGCGAACGGGUGAGUAAUAUAUCGGAACGUACCCUAGAGUGGGGGAUAACGUAGCGAAAGUUACGCUAAUACCGCAUACGAUCUAAGGAUGAAAGUGGGGGAUCGCAAGACCUCAUGCUCGUGGAGCGGCCGAUAUCUGAUUAGCUAGUUGGUAGGGUAAAAGCCUACCAAGGCAUCGAUCAGUAGCUGGUCUGAGAGGACGACCAGCCACACUGGAACUGAGACACGGUCCAGACUCCUACGGGAGGCAGCAGUGGGGAAUUUUGGACAAUGGGCGAAAGCCUGAUCCAGCAAUGCCGCGUGAGUGAAGAAGGCCUUCGGGUUGUAAAGCUCUUUUGUCAGGGAAGAAACGGUGGGAGCUAAUAUCUCUUGCUAAUGACGGUACCUGAAGAAUAAGCACCGGCUAACUACGUGCCAGCAGCCGCGGUAAUACGUAGGGUGCAAGCGUUAAUCGGAAUUACUGGGCGUAAAGCGUGCGCAGGCGGUUUUGUAAGUCUGAUGUGAAAUCCCCGGGCUCAACCUGGGAAUUGCAUUGGAGACUGCAAGGCUAGAAUCUGGCAGAGGGGGGUAGAAUUCCACGUGUAGCAGUGAAAUGCGUAGAUAUGUGGAGGAACACCGAUGGCGAAGGCAGCCCCCUGGGUCAAGAUUGACGCUCAUGCACGAAAGCGUGGGGAGCAAACAGGAUUAGAUACCCUGGUAGUCCACGCCCUAAACGAUGUCUACUAGUUGUCGGGUCUUAAUUGACUUGGUAACGCAGCUAACGCGUGAAGUAGACCGCCUGGGGAGUACGGUCGCAAGAUUAAAACUCAAAGGAAUUGACGGGGACCCGCACAAGCGGUGGAUGAUGUGGAUUAAUUCGAUGCAACGCGAAAAACCUUACCUACCCUUGACAUGGCUGGAAUCCUUGAGAGAUCAGGGAGUGCUCGAAAGAGAACCAGUACACAGGUGCUGCAUGGCUGUCGUCAGCUCGUGUCGUGAGAUGUUGGGUUAAGUCCCGCAACGAGCGCAACCCUUGUCAUUAGUUGCUAAGAAAGGGCACUCUAAUGAGACUGCCGGUGACAAACCGGAGGAAGGUGGGGAUGACGUCAAGUCCUCAUGGCCCUUAUGGGUAGGGCUUCACACGUCAUACAAUGGUACAUACAGAGCGCCGCCAACCCGCGAGGGGGAGCUAAUCGCAGAAAGUGUAUCGUAGUCCGGAUUGUAGUCUGCAACUCGACUGCAUGAAGUUGGAAUCGCUAGUAAUCGCGGAUCAGCAUGUCGCGGUGAAUACGUUCCCGGGUCU
rnacentral:rRNA from 1 species